rnacentral:rRNA from 1 species
UAGGGAAUCUUCCGCAAUGGGCGCAAGCCUGAUGGAGCAACACCGCGUGAGUGAAGAAGGGUUUCGGCUCGUAAAGCUCUGUUGUUAAAGAAGAACACGUAUGAGAGUAACUGUUCAUACGUUGACGGUAUUUAACCAGAAAGUCACGGCUAACUACGUGCCAC